rnacentral:rRNA from 1 species
CGCACGGGUGAGUAACACGUAUCCAACCUGCCGUCUACUCUUGGACAGCCUUCUGAAAGGAAGAUUAAUACAAGAUGGCAUCAUGAGUUCACAUGUUCACAUGAUUAAAGGUAUUCCGGUAGACGAUGGGGAUGCGUUCCAUUAGAUAGUAGGCGGGGUAACGGCCCACCUAGUCUUCGAUGGAUAGGGGUUCUGAGAGGAAGGUUCCCCACAUUGGAACUGAGACACGGUCCAA